GAGAAUUUUUCUCAAUGGGGGAAACCCUGAAGGAGCGACGCCGCGUGGAGGAUGAAGGUCUUCGGAUUGUAAACUCCUGUCAUUUGAGAACAAGUGUAUGCGAGUAACUACCGCGUACUUGAUAGUAUCAGAAGAGGAAGAGGCGGCUAACUCUGUGCCAGCAGCCGCGGUAAUACAGAGGCCUCAAGCGUUGUUCGGAUUCAUUGGGCGUAAAGGGAGCGUAGGCGGUCGGGUAAGUCGGAUGUGAAAUCCUGGGGCUCAACCUCAGAACUGCAUUCGAUACUGCUCGGCUAGAGGACUGGAGAGGUGAGUGGAAUUCACGGUGUAGCAGUGAAAUGCGUAGAUAUCGUGAGGAAGACCAGCGGCGAAGGCGGCUCACUGGACAGUUUCUGACGCUGAUGCUCGAAGGCCAGGGGAGCAAACG
rnacentral:rRNA from 1 species